GGCCGCGUAGUUCAACUGGAUAGAAUAUCUGACUUCGGAUCAGAGGGUUGGGGGUUCAAAUCCUCCCGCGGUCACCA
rnacentral:tRNA from 1 species